rnacentral:ncRNA from 3 species
GGGAGAAGGCCUCCCGAAGUCGGCUUUCAGGAGCAGGCUUCAAAUCGCCCGGUACUGCUGUGUCCAAAAGGCGCGGUGGUGAGCGAUCGUGGAAAAGUCAUCCGGAGAGGGUGGCAGGU